UUAUUACUGAUUGAUUGAUUGAUUGAUUGAUUUUGAGACGGAGUCUCGCUCUGGUCCAGGCGAGGCGAGGCAAGGGGCAUCAAUUUGGAAGCCGCAGCACCGCCUUCUAAAGCCCCAUUCAAAUGCAGAAAGCCUUAUUUCCUUCCUGGAGUUGGAGCUGAUGCCUUCCAUCGCCUUGGGCUUCUCUCCUUUCAGAAGCUGUUGCAGGCACAACCCCUCCCAGAGGCUGGCUGCGGCUGAGGAUUAGGGGGUGUGGUGGGGCUGGAAACUCGGUCUCCUAUUGUUGCAAGCUCAGCCAAGACAUCCCCCGACGCCCAUCCCUUGCUCACCCUUUGAGAUCCCCUGACUCCACCGCCUUGGAGGCUUACCUCUUACUUUAAUUUGUCUUUCUUCCUUUCCUGCAUUUGAGGAGGGGGUGCAGGAAUGAGGGUGUGUGUGGGAAGGGGGUAUGGGGUGGGAAUGGAGGGGAGAGUCCUAAGGGUCUAUUUAGUGUCAUGCCUCUUUCACCGCCACCACCGAAGAUGAAAGCAACAAUUAGCUAAAUACCACGUGUUCUCAUCCAUAAGUGGGAACUUAUAGAUGAGAGUUCUGCAUGGGCAGAACGAGGGGGACCAGAGACGCGGGAGCCUACUUGAGGGAGGAAGGGUGGAAGGAGAGACAGCUUCAGGAAAAAACAAACAAACAAAAAAACAUGAAAACUGUUGAGUACUGCGCUGAGUAUCCGGCUGAUGAAUUCAUCUGCACACUGAACACCCCCGUCAGAAGUUUACCUAUGUAACAAUCUUGCACAUGUAUGUUUGAACAAGAAAUGAAAGUUAGGGGAGAAAGAGAGAGAAGGGAGGGAGAGAGGGAAAGAGAGAGAGAAGUGAAACGAAACACCACCUCCUGGACCUGAGUCAGGGGGUUUCCGGCCUUUUGGGGGAACAUUCAGCGACAAUGCAGUAUUUGGGACUCUUCUUUUUUUUUUCUUCUUCUUUUCUUUUUUUUUGACUGAGUUUCUCUUGCUCUGUCACCCAGGCUGUGGUGCAGUGGCACUCUCUCGGCUCACUGAAACCUC
rnacentral:lncRNA from 10 species